AUACGUAGGGUGCGAGCGUUAAUCGGAAUUACUGGGCGUAAAGCGUGCGCAGGCGGUUUUGUAAGUCAGAUGUGAAAUCCCCGAGCUCAACUUGGGAACUGCGUUUGAAACUACAAGGCUAGAGUAUGGUAGAGGGGGGUAGAAUUCCACGUGUAGCAGUGAAAUGCGUAGAGAUGUGGAGGAAUACCAAUGGCGAAGGCAGCCCCCUGGACUAAUACUGACGCUCAUGCACGAAAGCGUGGGGAGCAAACAGGAUUAGAUACCCUGGUAGUCCACGCCCUAAACGAUGUCUACUAGUUGUUGGGAGAGUAAAAUCUCUUAGUAACGCAGCUAACGCGUGAAGUAGACCGCCUGGGGAGUACGGUCGCAAGAUUAAA
rnacentral:rRNA from 1 species